rnacentral:rRNA from 1 species
CAAGCCCCGGUAAACGGCGGUGGUAACUAUAACCAUCCUAAGGUAGCGAAAUUCCUUGUCGGGUAAGUUCCGACCUGCACGAAUGGCGUAACGACUUCCCCACUGUCUCGACCAGGAGCUCGGCGAAAUUGCAGUACGAGUAAAGAUGCUCGUUAAGCGCAGAAGGACGAAAAGACCCCGGGACCUUUACUAUACCUUGGUAUUGGCAUUCGGUGUGGAUUGUGUAGCAUAGGCGGAAGGCUUCGAAGCCACGGCGCCAGCCGCGGUGGAGCCGCAAGGUGAAAUACCGCUCUGUUCGCAUUGGAUGUCUAACCUCGACCAGUCAUCCUGGUCAGGGACAGUGCCUGGCGGGUAGUUUAACUGGGGCGGUUGCCUCCCAAAGAGUAACGGAGGCGCUCAAAGGUUCCCUCAGCCCGGUUGGCAAUCGGGUGGCGAGUGUAAGUGCACAAGGGAGCUUGACUGCGAGACUGACGGGUCGAGCAGGGACGAAAGUCGGAACUAGUGAUCCGGUGCCGGUGUACGGACGCGGCAUCGCUCAACGGAUAAAAGGUACCCCGGGGAUAACAGGCUGAUCAUUCCCAAGAGUCCAUAUCGACGGGAUGGUUUGGCACCUCGAUGUCGGCUCGUCGCAUCCUGGGGCUGGAGCAGGUCCCAAGGGUUCGGCUGUUCGCCGAUUAAAGCGGCACGCGAGCUGGGUUCAGAACGUCGUGAGACAGUUUGGUCUCUAUCCUCUGCGCUCGUCGGAAUGUUGAGGAGGCCUGCCCAUAGUACGAGAGGACCUGGGUGGACGAACCUCUGGUAUGCCGGUUGUCACGCCAGUGGCACGGCCGGUUGGCUACGUUCGGAAGGGAUAACCGCUGAAAGCAUCUAAGCGGGAAGCCUGCUCCAAGAUAAGCAUUCCAUAGGACUACGGGUCCUUGAAGUCCCCAUGCAGAACACGUGGUUGAUAGGCCGGACGUGGAAGCCCCGCGAGGGGUGGAGCCGACCGGUACUAACGGACGAAAGGCAACACAAC